UACGUAGGGGGCUAGCGUUGUCCGGAUUUAUUGGGCGUAAAGCGCGUGUAGGCGGCCAGGUAGGUCCGCUGUGAAAACUCGAGGCUCAACCUCGAGACGUCGGCGGAAACCCUCUGGCUAGAGUCCGGAAGAGGAGAGUGGAAUUCCUGGUGUAGCGGUGAAAUGCGCAGAUAUCAGGAAGAACACCGAUGGCGAAGGCAGCUCUCUGGGACGGUACUGACGCUGAGGCGCGAAAGCGUGGGGAGCGAACAGG
rnacentral:rRNA from 1 species